rnacentral:rRNA from 1 species
UGGGGAAUAUUGCACAAUGGGCGAAAGCCUGAUGCAGCAACGCCGCGUGAGUGAUGAAGGCCUUCGGGUUGUAAAGCUCUGUCUUUUGGGACGAUAAUGACGGUACCAAAGGAGGAAGCCACGGCUAACUACGUGCCAGCAGCCGCGGUAAUACGUAGGUGGCAAGCGUUGUCCGGAUUUACUGGGCGUAAAGGAUGCGUAGGCGGAUUUUUAAGUGAGAUGUGAAAUACCCGGGCUUAACUUGGGUGCUGCAUUUCAAACUGGGAAUCUAGAGUGCGGGAGAGGAGAAUGGAAUUCCUAGUGUAGCGGUGAAAUGCGUAGAGAUUAGGAAGAACACCAGUGGCGAAGGCGAUUCUCUGGACCGUAACUGACGCUGAGGCAUGAAAGCGUGGGUAGCAAACAGGAUAGAUACCCUGGUAGUCCACGCCGUAAACGAUGAGUACUAGGUGUAGGAGGUAUCGACCCCUUCUGUGCCGCAGUUAACACAAUAAGUACUCCGCCUGGGAAGUACGAUCGCAAGAUUAAAAACUUAAAGGAAUUGACGGGGUCAUAGCUGUUUCCU